GAGAGGUGCAAACGUUAUUCGGAAUCACUGGGCGUAAAGGGUGCGUAGACGGCAUGGUAAGUCAGUUGUUAAAUUUUCCGGCCUAACCGGAAGUCAGCAGCAGAAACUGCUUUGCUAGAGGAUGGAAGAGAGAAGUGGAAUUCUCGGAGUAGCGGUAAAAUGCGUAGAUCUCGAGAGGAACACCGAUGGCGAAGGCAGCUUCUUGGUCCAUUCCUGACGUUGAGGCACGAAAGCGUGGGGGAGCAGACAGGAUUAGAUACCCUGGUAGUCCACGCCGUAAACGAUGAUCACUAGACGUUAGUUUCGUUUUGCGGAAUUAGUGUCGUAGCUAACGCGUUAAGUGAUCCGCCUGGGACUACGGUCGCAAGACUA
rnacentral:rRNA from 1 species